AUGGCGUCCUCCCUCACGCCGCGCAGCCCGUACCAGAAAAAGGAGAACCUGGGGAGCCUGCGGCGGGGGAUGGGGUACAACGCGCCGCCGCGCCGCAACGUGCUCUCGGCCAUCAACAACGGCGGCGGCGCCAACGCCGAGCCGGCGCCCUCGGAGGCCGGCUCCGAGGCGCCCGCCUUCGAGUUCAGCGGGAGGGAGGAUGUGGACCGCCUGCUCAGCGAGAAGAUGAAGGGCAAAUCCAAGAACGACUACAAGGGCCGGACGGAGCAGAUGAGCGAGUACAUCAAGAGGCUGAGGGCCUGCAUCCGGUGGCUGGUGGAGCUGGAAGACGGCUACUUGGCCGAGCAGGAGAAGCUUCGGGGGCAGAUUGAUUCAGACAAUGCUCGUCAUGCAGAGUUUGAGGCUCAGCUCGGUGGUGCGCUUGAAGAAUUGAAAGCGGCAAACUUGGAGAUGACAACACGGUGUGACUCACUGGAGGAGAGCUUGAACAAGGAGAAGGCCGACAGGCUGAUUGCUGUGGAAUCCUAUGAAAAGGAAAGAGAAGAAAGGGAAUCAGCCGAGGCUUCACGGGAUGUACUGACCGUCGAUCUUGAAAGGGUCACUCAUGAGGCAAAACGGUUCAGUGAGCAGCUAAAAAUGGUCCAAGACACCAACAAAAGACUUCAGGAAUACAACUCCAGCUUGCAGCAAUACAACAGUAAUCUUCAAGCUGAUACAUCGAAGAACGGAGAAAUCAUUUCGAAGCUGCAAAGGGAGAAGAGUGCAAUGAUGGAAGCCAUGACUAAUCUGAAAGAUCUUAACAACUCAAUGAAGAACCAGUUGGAUUCUUCCAUGUCCUCCCAGAAAGAAGCAAUUAGAGUGAAAGAAGAACUUAGAAAAGAAGUAGAAUGCCUCAGAGCUGAUUUACAACAAGUUAGAGAAGACCGUGAUCAGUCUGUUGCUCAACUGAAUACCUUGACCGCGGAACUGGCCACUUACAGCGAACAGGCUAGAAAGUCUUCGAAAGACUCUGAACUUUUGAGAAUAAAGGCGGCAGCCUUUGAGGAAACAUGCAGUUCACAGCAAGAGCAAAUUGAAACAUUGCAGAAGCAGCUUGCAGUUGCAACUGAGAAGCUGAAGCAUGCUGAUGUGACUGCAAUUGAGGCGAUGACAGGAUAUGAAUCACAGAAAGAGACAAUCAAAGAUCUGGAAGAGCGUUUGGCAUAUGCAGAGUUUCAAAUCAUUGAAGCUGACAAGCUACGAAAGAAGCUGCACAAUACCAUCUUGGAACUAAAAGGCAAUAUCAGAGUAUUUUGUAGGGUUCGACCUUUUCUGUCGGACACCGAUUCUAAUGGUCAGGAAGAAGCCAUUAUUUCUUAUCCAUCAUCCGUGGAAAAUGCUGGGCGUGGUAUUGAUUUAAUGAAUCAAGGUCAGAAAUGUUCUUUUUCAUAUGACAAGGUUUUCGAUCACAGCGCUUCGCAAGAUGAUGUGUUUGUGGAAAUGUCACAGCUAGUCCAAAGUGCGCUUGAUGGAUACAAGGUAUGCAUAUUUGCAUAUGGUCAAACAGGGUCAGGUAAAACUUAUACAAUGAUGGGUAAGCCAGGCCGUGAUCAGAAAGGUAUCAUACCUCGAUCUUUGGAGCAAAUUUUCAAGACCAGUCAGUCUCUAGAAUCUCAAGGAUGGAAGUAUUGUAUGCAGGCGUCAAUGUUGGAAAUAUACAAUGAGACAAUUCGUGACUUGUUAGCACCAGGACGCUCCAGUAGUGAGAUGCCUGGCGGUAAACAAUACACAAUAAAGCAUGAUUCCCAGGGAAACACAACAGUCUCCGAUCUUACAACUACUAAUGUGUUCAGCACUGCUGAUGUGACGUCUCUUCUAGAGAAAGCAUCUCAUAGCAGGUCUGUAGGUAAGACCCAAAUGAAUGAGCAAUCUUCCAGGAGCCAUUUUGUCUUCACACUAAAGAUAUUUGGAUCAAAUGAGAGCACAGGCCAACAAGUGCAAGGUGUGCUGAACUUGAUUGAUUUGGCUGGGAGUGAACGGCUUACUAAAAGUGGCGCAACAGGUGAACGCUUGAAGGAAACUCAGGCCAUCAACAAGAGCCUGUCAGCUCUCAGCGAUGUUAUCUUUGCGAUUGCGAAAAACGAUGACCAUGUGCCCUUUAGGAACUCGAAGCUCACGUACCUCUUGCAGCCUUGCCUUGGUGGGGACUCGAAGACGCUCAUGUUCGUCAACGUUUCGCCCGAGGCGUCCUCAGCCGGGGAGACUCUCUGCUCCCUGAGGUUCGCGUCGAGGGUGAACGCGUGCGAGAUCGGGGUGGCGAGACGGCAGACACAGUCCAAGUCCUCCUCGGAUAACAGUAACAGGCUGAGCUACGGGUGA
rnacentral:rRNA from 1 species